GACGAACGCUGGCGGCGUGCUUAACACAUGCAAGUCGAACGGACAGACAGAGAGCUUGCUCUCUUGAGGUUAGUGGCGAACGGGUGAGUAACGCGUAAUCAACCUGCCCUUCAGAGGGGGAUAACAACGGGAAACCGUUGCUAAUACCGCAUACGAUUCAUGAACGGCAUCGUUUAUGAAUGAAAGGUGGCCUCUAUGUAUAAGCUAUCGCUGAAGGAGGGGAUUGCGUCUGAUUAGCUAGUUGGAGGGGUAACGGCCCACCAAGGCAAUGAUCAGUAGCCGGUCUGAGAGGAUGAACGGCCACAUUGGGACUGAGACACGGCCCAAACUCCUACGGGAGGCAGCAGUGGGGAAUCUUCCGCAAUGGACGAAAGUCUGACGGAGCAACGCCGCGUGAGUGAUGAAGGUCUUCGGAUUGUAAAGCUCUGUUAAUCGGGACGAAAGAGUUCUGCGUGAAUAAUGCAGAAAAGUGACGGUACCGGAAUAGAAGGCCACGGCUAACUACGUGCCAGCCGCCGCAGUAA
rnacentral:rRNA from 1 species